GUUAAAGUGAUUUCAGUUAGUCUAGCUCAUUGAAGAAGAAAUAGUUUCCAAACUCUUCCAUAUUAAGGGCCAUGUUUCUGGAAAAGAAGUCAGGUGUUGUUAUUCUACUUUGGUCUGUGUGGUCUCUUACUGGAGAUGCAUGAGUAGCCAGCGUUUGAAGUAGGGGUAUUCAUGAGGUGGUAUUUUAGCCCAUUUAAUGCAACUCAGUAAACCUUCAGUAGGAAAAUGUUGCUAGACGUUGUUGGCUUUCUCUGCAUUGUAACAGCAUGCUGAUCUCAUUCUAGUAAUAUGAUCCUGAGCAAGGUUUUUACUGAAAUACAGGAGUACAAGCACUUUUGCAUUACAAUCAUUUGAAAAUGUGAAUAUGGUUUUAGUAUACUUCUUUAGAGAUCUAAACGUUUUUGGCAAUUCAAUCAUUCAACUUCUUUGCUUCUGCUAUCAGUGGAAGGUACAGUGUAUCAGUCUUAUAUGCAAGAGGGAGGGUUAACUAUAGGCAGUGAAUAUGACAUUUAUUUCUGCUAUUUAUAUAAGACUCGUGUAUCUCCUACUCAUCUGAACUGAACUGGCGCUGCCAAAGGCAACAAACAUAAAUGCUGACAUGUGGUUUUGUACUUCUGCCAGCCUCUGAAAGUCAAGGACACCAGCUACUAUAUCAAAUAUCAGAUGGACUGUGAUUGCAGAUCAUCAUUGCUUUGUGGAACAUUUAUGAUUGCAAACUUGGCAUCACUAAUGCUUAUUGUUGGUUAUUUCAAUUUGUGAAGAAUUUAUGCUUUAUUUUGUUUUGUAACUACUGCUUUUCAAAAACACUUUUUCGAGUUUUGAGAAGGUAAUCUCAAAUCCAUGCCACUCGAUUGGUAACAGGUGAAUGUGCAGUAGUCUUUCUGUUUUUGUUAAGGCAAAACUCUUCUGUUGCCAUAACAACAACAAAUUGCAAUUACUGUUUUCUGAUUGAGGGCGUGGCACAUUCCUGAUCAUGACAAACUUAAUCAACUAGGCAGCUGAAUAUGAAUGUGAGAAAUCUGUAAGUGACUAUCAUCUUCUAUCAUGCAAGCAUGGCGGUGGGCAAGGGUGGCAGGCAACGCAAUAAAUUGUCGACAUAUUGAGCAUUUGCUUGCAUGAGCUGAAAAUCCAUCAUGAGAAGGAGCCUCAGUAACGAUACUCAAGGAAUGAAAUUGGACCAAACAUAGUUGUGUACAACUGAGAUUCAAGUCAUGAUUUCAGUGUAUAGUUGUGGCUCAUUCACAGUAAACAUGCAGCACAGGAAGAAGGUUUUGCAGCAGCAACGAGAGGAAGGAAGGAAGCAAAGUAUGAUAGAUCUUCUUAAGAACUACUUCUCUAAACUUUACUCCAUUAAUUUUUAAACAUUUUAAACAGUGGGAUCAGCAGCUGAGAAGUGUGCCUAACCAGUCUGGCAAAUCAUCUUGAGACAUUGACGAGAGAAGAAACGAGGCAGCUUUUAAAUCAUUUUAGAAGACAGAAGUUUUCAAUCGUUUUCAGUGCUGCUGUUCUCAAGUCAUCAUGAACAAAUUGUUUUCUAUUACCAGCUCGAGCAGAUGAGAACAUUUAUGAGGGACAUCCAACAUAGCGUUGACUAGAUUGAACCAUGUAUUUUUAUAGAAUUUAGUGAUAGAAAUUUUACAUUUUUGCGUUUCAUUAAAGCCAGCCAGUCAGCAAUCAGUCACAU